rnacentral:misc_RNA from 1 species
AACCGCCGUAUACCGAACGGUACGUACGGUGGUGUGAGAGGUCGGCUGCUCAGUUAAUGGGCAGCCUCCUACUCGAU